rnacentral:rRNA from 1 species
GGAAAAGAAACCAACAGGGAUUGCCUUAGUAACGGCGAGUGAAGCGGCAAAAGCUCAAAUUUGAAAUCGGCCACCAGGUCGAGUUGUAAUUUGUAGAUUGUAUCUUGAGAGCGGAUUAAAGUCUGUUGGAACACAGCGCCUUAGAGGGUGACAGCCCCGUAAAAUCUAUUCUCAUUGUAAGAUACUUUCGAAGAGUCGAGUUGUUUGGGAAUGCAGCUCUAAGUGGGAGGUAAAUUCCUUCUAAAGCUAAAUAUUGACGAGAGACCGAUAGCGAACAAGUACUGUGAAGGAAAGAUGAAAAGCACUUUGAAAAGAGAGUGAAAAAGUACGUGAAAUUGUUAAAAGGGAAGGGUAUUGAAUCAGACUUGGUGCUGUUGUUCAACUGUGUUUCGGCAUAGUGUACUCAGCAGUACUAGGCCAAGGUGGGGUGUUUGGGAGUGAAAAAGAAGUUGGAACGUAACUCUUCGGAGUGUUAUAGCCUACUUUCAUAGCUCCUCAGGCGCCUCAGGACUGCGCUUCGGCAA